UCGUGUCUUCACUCCUCUGAGAAGAGGGAUUGGAAACCGAAGUACCCUCGAAGUACCAUCCGUGUAUCUCCGCGGUUUUAAUCGAGGCUUACUUUUUAACACGAGGGCUAAACAUGAAUAAUUCAUGAGAAUUGUUUUGCUCUCUGUGUAAGAAGUCCACGAGCAGUUCUGCUGCUAAACAUCAACUUUCUCUAAUACUUGAGGCCAUUUGGGACACACAGGACACUAUUUGGUUACAAAGCCUUAGCUAUAUCAAAGGCAAACCAGAAAAACUUUACUGCACUGGAUUUGGUCAAGCGAAUGCAGAGAUACAGCGUUUUGAAGAACAUUAGCCAGGGAAAAAUUCGUACAAAAAUUUACUGCAUUUUAAUGUACUUGGGCGGGACUUAUGAAAUUUGUUGUUAAUACCGGAAAUGAUCUUAAAGUUAGCAUAUCUGCUGAACCGCUUGGUCUAUUCUCUUUUAAAAAGUAUGAAAUGGACACUCAGGACUCAGGAGUUAACAUUGUAACCAUUUGAUAUCUAUUAUGAAGUUUAUAAUGUUUCUGUAAUGUAUAUCUUUAUGAUGUCCCUAUAAUAG